rnacentral:rRNA from 1 species
AUUGAACGUUGGCGGCAGGCUUAACACAUGCAAGUCGAACGAGAAAAUGCCUUCGGGCAUGAGUACAGUGGCGGACGGGUGAGUAACGCGUAGGAACCUACCUGGUAGUGGGGGAUAACUCGGGGAAACUCGAGCUAAUACCGCAUACGCUCUACGGAGGAAAGAGGGCCUCUAUUUAUAAGCUCUCGUUAUCAGAGGGGCCUGCGUUGGAUUAGCUAGUUGGUAGGGUAAAGGCCUACCAAGGCGACGAUCCAUAGCUGGUCUGAGAGGACGAUCAGCCACACUGGAACUGAGACACGGUCCAGACUCCUACGGGAGGCAGCAGUGGGGAAUCUUGGGCAAUGGGCGCAAGCCUGACCCAGCCAUGCCGCGUGUGCGAAGAAGGCCUUCGGGUUGUAAAGCACUUUCAGUGGUGAAGAAAAGCCAGGGGCUAAUACCCCCGGGUCUUGACGUUAGCCACAGAAGAAGCACCGGCUAACUCCGUGCCAGCCGCCGCAGUAAGAC